rnacentral:tRNA from 1 species
AGAAGCUGUGCCUCAGUAGUACAGCAGCUGCUUUCUAUGCAGAAAGUCCCAGGUUCAAUCCUUGGCACUUCCA